rnacentral:rRNA from 1 species
AGAGUUUGAUCCUGGCUCAGGAUGAACGCUGGCGGCGUGCUUAACACAUGCAAGUCGAACGGACCUGCUACACCAACUAGCAAUAGGCGGAGUGGUAGGUUAGUGGCGGACGGGUGAGUAACACGUAGGUGACCUGCCCUGAAGUGGGGAAUAACUGCUCGAAAGAGUGGCUAAUACCGCAUGCGAUCUACCAUUCAUUUGGUAGAUCAAAGAUCCGCAAGGAUCGCUUCUGGAUGGGCCUGCGUCCGAUUAGGUAGUUGGUGUGGUAAUGGCGCACCAAGCCGAUGAUCGGUAGGGGGCGUGAGAGCGUGACCCCCCACACUGGCACUGAAACACGGGCCAGACUCCUACGGGAGGCAGCAGUGAGGAAUAUUGCACAAUGGGCGAAAGCCUGAUGCAGCAACGCCGCGUGGGUGAUGAAGGCCUUCGGGUCGUAAAAUCCUUUUCUGGGGGACGAGGAAGGACGGUACCUCAGGAAUAAGCCUCGGCUAACUACGUGCCAGCAGCCGCGGUAAAACGUAGGAGGCGAGCGUUAUUCGGAUUUACUGGGCGUAAAGCGCGUGCAGGCGGUUCUGUAAGUUGGAGGUUAAAUCUCUCGGCUCAACUAAGAGGCGUCCUUCAAAACUGCAGGGCUUGAGGAUGGGGGAGGGAAGUGGAAUUCCCGGUGUAGUGGUGGAAUGCGUAGAUAUCGGGAGGAACACCAGUGGCGAAGGCGGCUUCCUGGCCCAUACCUGACGCUAAGACGCGAAAGCGUGGGGAGCGAACGGGAUUAGAUACCCCGGUAGUCCACGCUGUAAACGAUGGAUACUAGGUGUCGGUGGUAUUGACCCCACCGGUGCCGUAGCUAACGCGUUAAGUAUCCCGCCUGGGGACUACGGCCGCAAGGCUAAAACUCAAAGGAAUUGACGGGGCCCCGCACAAGCAGCGGAGCGUGUGGUUUAAUUCGAUCAACACGAAGAACCUUACCUGGGUUUGACAUGUACGUAGUAGUGAACCGAAAGGGGAACGAGCCUUCGGGCAGCGUACACAGGUGCUGCAUGGCUGUCGUCAGCUCGUGCCGUGAGGUGUUGGGUUAAGUCCCGCAACGAGCGCAACCCUCGCCAUCAGUUACAAGUGUCUGAUGGGACUGCCGGUAUCAAGCCGGAGGAAGGUGGGGAUGACGUCAAGUCAGCAUGGCCUUUAUGUCCAGGGCUACACACACGCUACAAUGGCCGGCACAAUGGGUCGCCAAGCCGCGAGGCGGAGCUAAUCCUCUAAAGCCGGUCUCAGUUCAGAUUGGAGGCUGCAACUCGCCUCCAUGAAGUCGGAGUUGCUAGUAACCGCAGGUCAGCUAUACUGCGGUGAAUACGUUCCCGGGGCUUGUACACACCGCCCGUCACGUCAUGAAAGCUGGUAACACCUGAAGCCAGUGGGCCAACCGUAAGGCGGCAGCUGUCGAAGGUGGGACUGGUGAUUGGGACGAAGUCGUAACAAGGUA